rnacentral:rRNA from 1 species
AUGACUCAUGGCUCGGCAAAGAAUUUACCAUCUUCGUGCACAUCCAAGGUGCCUGCAGGCAUGUGCCUUUUUCCUCAGAAUGAGGUGAAACAGAUUCAGACACCCCUGUUCAUCCUGAAUGCAGCAUAUGAUUCAUGGCAGGUACGGAACAUUUUGGUGCCUGGAAGUUCUGAUCCUCGCUGGCGAAGCUGCAAGCACGAUAUAAAACAGUGCUCGGCGAAGCAACUUAAGAUUUUGCAGGGAUUCAGGGACCAUUUCCUGGAAGCGGUGGAGGCGCAAGGGAACUCACCCACCAGAGGGCUGUUCAUAAACUCAUGCUUCGCGCACUGCCAAUCCGAGAUACAGGAGAUAUGGUUUUCGCCCGGCUCUCCGGUGCUCGGAGACAAAAGAAUAGCAAGCGCGGUUGGGGACUGGUUCUACGGCCGCAGUGGGUUUCAGAAGACGGACUGCCCUUACCCCUGUGACUCCACUUGCCAUGUCUUCAAGAACUCCUCCCACACGUAG